AAUCCAUGUUGCGGGCAUUAACUGUGUCAACCCUUGUAUCGUUCUGAAACCUCUAAAUAGCAUUCUGAAUCCAAUUGUUGGAAAGUAGCAAUCUCAUUCCUUAGUUU
rnacentral:snoRNA from 1 species